CAGAAAAUGACUUUCAGCCUACUUCUGAAUAGCCUCCCAGAGCUUUAUCUGGGCUUCUGCUCAGAAUCUUUAGAUUGUUACCGCACCCUAAUUUACCUCUGUGUGUUGGGAUUGCUCCUCCUCUUCUUCCCUUCCCUGGUGAAAAUUCUAUUAACCUAAACAUUCUGGAAAAAUGAACACACACAAAAGUGUCAGUGUCAGGGCAGAGCCAAGAAGAGGAGGAAAAGUGGGAUACAGACAGGUAGAAGAUACUCCCAGAGGGAAGAAGAGGAUAAAAAGAUGCUGAUUUCUCUCCUUAAAAGCCCCCUUGGCCAGCAUCAUUAUACCAUCCGCUUUUGUCAGCUGUUAUGUCCAGAGCCCACCUGUGAGGUAUGUAAUGAUGCAACUGCUGAGAUGGGUCAUCUGCAGUCCUCAUUGGCCCUGGAAGAUGCUACUCUCUCUGUGGCCCCUUUGACUUCUGCAUCUCCUGUGAUUGAGCCAUCAUUCACCCAUCCCCUGCCUUCUCAGCAGUCCCUCCAGGAGACCUAAUACCACCUCAUCUGCUUGAGCCUUUCCCAACACACUCCUCCAAUUUCUCCCCUAACCCAGUGACCCCCUUAGGUCAUUUCCCAUUAAAAUCAUCACCAGCUCACACUCUGCCAGCAGUUAUUUUACCUCCCAUGACAUCUGAAUUCCCAGUACAUCAUCGCUCUUACCAUAAACCAUAUCCCUACCACCUGGUACUAAGACUAUGGAUGCUGCUGUUCAACCAGAAACCCUCUGACCCUGAAGAUCAUCUUUGUUGACUCCUUCAUUACCCAAGAUAUCAACCCCUUCCCAG